CAGAGUGCGCUGUGUGUGUGUGUGUGUCCUGGACUCCACUUCCUCAUUCUCAGCGUACUCACUCACUAAAGGUCUCUGCUGCUCUACUACUGCAAAAUCAACAGUACUCACUACUUUCCAUCGCCACAUGCCAUGCCUACGUAUAAGCUUCAAGCCAGCCAAUUGCCCUACAACUAGCCAUCCAACUGCCCUGUUAAUACAGCGGAGUGUGUGAGAGAGAGCGAGAGGCCGGGCCAGACACUGGUGUGGCAUACUGAGGGUCUAUUUUUAGCCUUGGUUUGAGCCCUUGUCGCUAGCAAAGCAAUCUGCCUCGGCGACGACCUGAAAGGAAAAGACGGAGCAGCGAGGCAUCGGAGGUCACUUGACCCAAGAAUUGUGAGCGUUAUCAUCAGUGAUAUGCGGAAUUCAGGACGGAGUGAGCAGUAAGAGUUCCACCCGCUCUGGUCCCUGUCUCCAGUUCCACGUCUCGUCAUCCAGCUACUCCAUCCUGGAUUCCCCCCCGGACCUGCUUACCCUGUCCCAACCCCUCUCGCUCCAGCCUCAGCCUCAGCCUCCUCACCUGGUUUCCUGAAACCCACCCGAUCUUCCCCUGGCAUGCACUCCAUCUUCCCCCUGUGUUUCAAUAAAUGCAUUGGUUACUUCAUCCCAA